rnacentral:rRNA from 1 species
UACGUAGGGGGCAAGCGUUGUCCGGAAUCAUUGGGCGUAAAGAGCGUGUAGGCGGCCCGAUAAGUCCGCUGUGAAAGUCCAGGGCUCCAACCCUGGGAUGCCGGUGGAUACUGUCGGGCUCGAGUCCGGAAGAGGAGUGUGGAAUUCCUGGUGUAGCGGGUGAAAUGCGCAGAUAUCAGGAGGAACACCAAUGGCGAAGGCAGCACUCUGGGACGUGACUGACGCUGAGACGCGAAAGCGUGGGGAGCAAACAGG